CGUCAUCCCUUAAAUUUUCUCCCCCUUUAUUAAUUUGAAAUUCUCUUCUUGAUUCCUUUGGUUGUUGAUUGUGACUUUAGUGUCAAAAUGUUAGUAAUGACGUUUUGAUUGAUAAUUUGAUAGUUUUGUGUUGUCCUUGAUAAUUUAAGAUGUGGAUAGGUCAUAUGUGAUGGAUUUGGAGUUCUCGUGUUUAGCUUUAAAGAUGAUUUGGAGUCGUGCGGAGCAACCUGGGAUUUGGGAGAUUAGGGUGAGCUCCUGGCGUUUGGAGAUACCGGUUUCCAACUGGUCUGCUAGGUUUAGUGCUCAUAUUGUAUUCAGAGAUAGCUUGUACUUUUCUUGUAAUUGUUGUGGAACACCUAUACUACUAUUUUAGUUUAGAUGCUCAAGUACUAACUAAUGCCAGGUCUUAGUGUCACAUCCGGGUUUACCCCCUAGACGCAAUCGGCGUCGUCUUGGAUGUUUACAUAGACCUCUACAUACACAUAACAUAUAUAUAUAUUUAGUAUAUACAGACCUUUCGUAUAGGAAAGUUACAUGGCCUUCUA